GGCAAAAGCUCAAAUUUGAAAUCCCCCGGGAAUUGUAAUUUGAAGAGAUUUGGGUCCGGCCGGCGGGGGUUAAGUCCACUGGAAAGUGGCGCCACAGAGGGUGACAGCCCCGUGAACCCCUUCAACGCCCUCAUCCCAGAUCUCCAAGAGUCGAGUUGUUUGGGAAUGCAGCUCUAAGUGGGUGGUAAAUUCCAUCUAAAGCUAAAUACCGGCGAGAGACCGAUAGCGAACAAGUACAGUGAUGGAAAGAUGAAAAGCACUUUGAAAAGAGAGUGAAAAAGUACGUGAAAUUGUUGAAAGGGAAGGGCUUGCAAGCAGACACUUAACUGGGCCAGCAUCGGGGCGGCGGGAAACAAAACCACCGGGGAAUGUACCUUUCGAGGAUUAUAACCCCGGU
rnacentral:rRNA from 1 species